AGCUCCAGUAGCGUAUAUUAAAGUUGUUGCAGUUAAAAGGCUCGUAGUCGAACUUAUGGCCCUGUGAACCUGGCCCGUCCUCAAGUAGGACGAGUGCCGGUGUGCACGGGUCAUCCUUCUGAAGAGCACUUCUACCCUUGAUUGGGUUGGAUGUGUAAUUUGGAUCAUUUACUGUGAGUAAAUCAAAGUGUUCAAAGCAGGCUUUAAUGCUUGUAUGGUUCAGCAUGGAAUAAUAAGAUAGGACUUUGGUUUUAUUUUGUUGGCUAUCGAACCAAAGUAAUGAUUGAAAGGGAUAGUUGGGGGUGCUAGUAUUGGAUGGUCAGCGGUGAAAUGCAUGGACCCAUUCAAGACUAACUUAUGCGAAAGCAUUCACCAAGGAUAUCUUCUUUGAUCAAGAACG
rnacentral:rRNA from 1 species